rnacentral:rRNA from 1 species
UGGGGAAUAUUUCACAAUGGACGGAAGUCUGAUGCAGCAACGCCGCGUGCGGGAUGACGGCCUUCGGGUUGUAAACCGCUUUUUCUCAUGACGAAGUUUUUUGACGGUAGUGGGGGGAGAAGCACCGGCUAACUACGUGCCAGCAGCCGCGGUGAUACGUAGGGUGCGAGCGUUGUCCGGAAUUAUUGGGCGUAAAGAGCUUGUAGGCGGUUUGUCGCGUCGAUAGUGCAAACUCAGUGCUUAACGCUGAGCCUGCUGUUGAUACGGGCAGACUAGAGGAAGGUAGGGGAGAAUGGAAUUCCCGGUGGAGCGGUGGAAUGCGCAGAUAUCGGGAGGAACACCGGUGGCGAAGGCGGUUCUCUGGGCCUUUCCUGACGCUGAGAAGCGAAAGCGUGGGGAGCGAACAGG